ACCUGCCUCCGCCGCUAACCACAACAACAACCAGAUCUCAUCUAAGCCGAGACAAGCACUGCAACUAUCGAUCGCCCUCCUAAACUGCAACCGCCAGUCCUCCUCCUCAAUUGCAACCGCCAUCGAGAGCUUGACUGAGCCCCACAAUCAAGCGCUUGACUGAGCCCCGCAACCUCCGCUCUCCUCAUUUAUUUGAUUUUAAUAAUUUUGAUUUUGAGAUGAGGAUAAUUCCGGACAACUCGUGGAUAGAUAUUCUCAGAAUUGAACAAUAUAGUGAUCAAUGAUAUAAGGACGGAUUGAAGCCUUCCUAAAGUCUGCCGGAAGGAACCCAAGUAAUUUAAGUAGUGGUGUGAUGUAUUGCCCCUGUUGAACAUGUAAGAAUAUGAAGUUGAAAAUAGAGAUGAAAUAUCAUCAACCAGUACUUCAAAUUCACAAAGCUUCCAUGGAGCUCCAAUGAGGAUAUAUGGAGAGAGCUUAUGGCUGGAGUUGCUGGAGGGAGUAGCAGCGACAUGCCGAGGAGGGAUGUUGAUGAGGACAAUGACUCGUGAUUAUCUAUAGUGGACGGGAUCAUGCACGCAUCACGUGCAAUUGGAGUACUAGUAUUAUGUAUUAGACGAUAUUAUUAUUUGUAGGGGAAACAUGAUAUUUUAUGCGACAAUCUAUGUGUUUGAUGUUUCUUUAUUGUGACCUAGGAUGUUUAUUUUGAUUAUAAGUUAUUGUGUGGAGUUUGGACAUCUGUAUUGUGGAAAAUGGAUUUUUCGUUUGUGUUUGAUCUUUGGAAUACAAUGUAUAUU